rnacentral:sRNA from 20 species
AUUAGAUAAAGACCUCCUAACUUUAUUUAAUGAAAUCCUAAUCCUUUCUUUUUCAUCAUAAUCUCCCUAAAGAGGCCACCCAAUCAGGUGGCUUUUUU